ACCGCGCCCUUCGGGGUGUGGAGCCGAGCGGCGAACGGGUGAGUAACACGUGAGCAACCUGCCCUCAGCUCUGGGAUAACCCCGGGAAACCGGGGCUAAUACCGGAUAUUCAGCUGUCAUCGCAUGGUGGUGGUUGGAAAGCUUUUGCGGCUGGGGAUGGGCUCGCGGCCUAUCAGCUUGUUGGUGGGGUGAUGGCCUACCAAGGCGACGACGGGUAGCCGGCCUGAGAGGGCGACCGGCCACACUGGGACUGAGACACGGCCCAGACUCCUACGGGAGGCAGCAGUGGGGAAUAUUGCACAAUGGGCGAAAGCCUGAUGCAGCGACGCCGCGUGAGGGAUGACGGCCUUCGGGUUGUAAACCUCUUUCAGCUCUGACGAAGCUGCCUGGUUUUCUGGGUGGUGACGGUAGGGGUUGAAGAAGCGCCGGCCAACUACGUGCCAGCAGCCGCGGUAAGACGUAGGGCGCGAGCGUUGUCCGGAUUUAUUGGGCGUAAAGAG
rnacentral:rRNA from 1 species